UUUUGUUUGUUAGUUUGGUUUUUUUUUUGUUUGUUUGUUUGUUUUUAGCUAGAAGACCUUUCCCUUCUCAGUCUGGGCUGCACUGCAUGAGCCUGCACCCAGCACCCAUUCUCGCCUGCCCCAGGCACUGCUCCAGCUCUCCCAUCCUGUGGAUGCCAGAAUUGCUGCUGGGAUGUGAGCAGAAAGGCAGGGGGAGAGGAGGUGGCACAAACAGCCCUUUCUGCUGGCCACCCUUGGCUACAUCCCCAGCACUGCUUGGGUGGGCUCCCUGCCCUGGCUGUGCCAGUGCUGCUCUCUGAGUGUUCACUGAGGAACAGCUCCCUGCUUUCCCUCCACCCACAUCCACCUCCUUAGAGGAGGAUCCAUGUUAGUGCCUGGUCCCCUGUCAAGAGCUCCUGCAGGCAGCCAGGAGCUGCUCCUAAUGGGCUGCCAGGGGAUUUGGGAUCUGACAGCUGGGUGCUGACAGCUCCCUGCAACUGCUCGCUCCAGCUGCUGGGCUCCUCUCCCUGGUAAGAUGGAGAAGGAUGCUCUGACUGCCACAGGGAGGAGGCUGGCUCUUUUUUCUCCCCUCACCAGGUGUUUGUGAUGGUGCUGGAGGGUUGUGGUGCCCACUGCCUUGGUGGGGCUGGAGGGUUGUGGUGCCCACUGCCUUGGUGGGGCUGGUAAAGCCUUGGGGGACAAUGGUGGUACAAUGGUGGUACAAGCAGAGGGAUACGAGGCUGGAGGAGCUCCUGCAGGGUGGUGCUCCCACAUGGGCACUGUGAGAGGGAAGGAGGUCUGGGUGCUGCACAGAGCAAGUCUUAUCGCAGCCCCUAGCAGGGAGUUGGGAUGGGAGGCCCUUGUUAGCUAGGAGAGCUGGGAGCAAGUGCUGGCACCUCCUGGGGCUCCCUCUGCAGCAGCUCUGGGGCCUCCCAAGCCUUCUCCUGGCUGACACAUCGCCUCUCUCUUCUGCUUGACGCAGGGCUCCUGUGUGUCCCCACAGACCCCAUGCAGGGGCUGGGGGGAUCCUGGGGCUCCCUGGGGUCCGGCUCCAUCCCAGCAGGGCCGCGGCAGCCCGGGCAGAGGGACUGUCCCAUCAUCCUCCAGCACGGAGCAUCUCCCAGCCUGCUGUCUUGUAUGGCUUUUUAUUCCUAUGUGAUUAUACAUCCCACUUCAUAUAGGGAUUGAAGCCGUGCACUACGCCGGGCUCCUGCGGCAGAGAGCAGCCCCUGUGCCACGGGAGCCGGCCUCAGAGGAGCCACCAGAGCUGUCCCCGGGGGCUGGAGGGGGACUGCUGGCCUCAGCCUGAGCUCAUCCUGCAUCCCAGGCUCCCCAGCCCUCCUGGGAUGCAGAUGAGGGGUGCCAGGCUGCUUUGGGGUGAGGCCGGCACGAGCCCACUCCUUGCAUUGCACCCCCCUGCAAGGGUGGCACACAAACACCCUUCUGCACCACACCUGUGUGGAGACCCUCAGUGACUGCACUGCGGGGCUGAUCCCUGGGGAAUCUGCUGCUCUGCUUUCGUCCCCAAAUAUCCUGGGAUAUGCAGGCACUGCCAGCAGCACAGGGGAGGAGGAAGAGGAAAAAGAUGCUGAGGAAUGGCCACGACAGCAAGGGCUGCCCCAGGCACGAUGCUCUUCAAGGUUUCUCAAGAGGCCUCAGCCACUCUUGCAAGGUUUGUGUUAUAUCUGUCACAUUAGCGAAAAUGGUGAAAAUUGUGGCUUGUGGAGGAGAUGAAAGGCAGCCCCUUCCAAUGCCUCCAUAAAGGAAGGGCCCCAUUAACACCUAGUGAAUUAUUGGCCAUUAAUCAGGCUCUGUGCAAAAUAAAACCAUCCACAUUUAUCAUUAUUGGAUCCUUAAUGAAGUGAUAAUGGGAAUGCUGGGGAGCUGUGAUAUUAAUGUCUUCUAAGAGGCAAGAGCAGAGCCAAGGGCGGCAGCCAAGAUUUUUAAUUUACUGCCAGAAGCUCGUGCUGUUAAUAACGCUGUUACUUCCCCCGGCCGUUAGCCCUGUUUGGCUACGAGCUGCCCACCUGGGAGAGCAAAUCAGCCCUGAACAUACCCAGACUUUGCUCACCUGCUCCCCACACAGCAUCUGAGCACAUUUCCCCCACCCACUGUCCCCUGCCCAUGUGUAGGGAUAUGGCCGGGGAGCUGCUGGCUAUCUUCACCCACCUGCCUCCUUCCUGAAGGCCAGCUGGUGUAGAAAGUUUUGCUUUCUGAUAAAAAGUGAAGGGACUGUGAGCAUCAAGCCCCUGUGUCUCUUACUGUCCUCACUCUCUCUCUCUGUGACUUUUCUCCUUAGGCACAAGCACCAGAGCCAGGGUGGCACACAGCUGGUCCCAGCACAGCCCACACACCGGGGCUGCUCCACACUCUGGUGUCUUCAUUUGCACAGCUUUACUCUCAUGAGGCCAAUAUCCCAUCCAGGACAGCAAGGACAAGCUGCAAAGCCUGCUCAGCUGUGGUGACUCACUUGAGUUCCAAUGGGAAAGUCAUUGCUCCUGCCAAGCCCUGCCAGCCCAGAGGCAAAUCAUUACCAGGCAGGGACCAGCAGGGAAGAUGUUGCUGUGGAGGGAAAGAGGCUGGAGGAGGACUCCACACAGCUGGCUUGUCACUGAGCUUCAUUCAUCCCCAUCCUUACACUGUACAGGGAAGGUAUGUUGUCCUCUUUGUCACUGUGCACUGCUUGUGCCACCCAGCCAGUAUCAAGAACUUCUCUCUGCCAGCGUGCUUCUUAGCCACACUCCUGGCUGUGCAUCCUGCUGGGCCUGGGGUCUCUGUCAUCUCAGUACCCUGCUGUGGGAAGAGCUGCAGGGCACUGUGCUGGCUUGUGGAGCAGGUGCUGGGUGUCCCCUUCCCAGCACAUCCCCCCAGCAGCUCCAUGCUUCAUGUGAGCAGGCCUUGCUGUAAUUUGCUCCAGUGGACCCCUAAAACCCCACUGCUGAGCUGCUCUUAGCUGGGGGCACUGCAAGUGCAACAGUGCAGCAAGGGCUCUCCAUGGUAGCUCUGCAAAUGGCCUCAACUUCCCUACAUCUCUUAAAUUAACUGGAGCAGUCACAUGCCUUAAAUCCAGUUUCUUUCUCUGUAAUGUGACCCCUUACCUUCCUCUGAUCCCACCAAUUAGAAGUGCUUGUUUUUGCUGUGGACAUUCACUCAUGUGUCUACAUAGUGGAUUCUUUCUGUCAAAGACACUGGCAGCCUCAACAGUGAGCCCUAAUUUAAGUAGUUUGCAUUUGUCCACAGCAUUGGUGCUCUCAUUUACUCCUGCUCCUAAUUAAGUGCAUCUGGGUGUCUGCAGAGGGAGCUCUCAUGAUCUCUCCGUGGCUCUAAUUAAAAUGGCCUGGAUGUCCAUGACAUUGGUGCCUGUCAAGCCUGUCACCAGGAGGUGAUGCCCACCUUGGAACUGGCUGAAGAAUGUGUAGGAGUCAUUGUUCCUGAGAAAGGCCUCCACAUCCAGGCCCUCCUGAAGUGCCUCAGCCACCAGCCCUGGGCUGCAGAAGGCUCCUGCUGCCUCCGUUGGCCCAUCCUGCCCGUCUGUUCCCCCACUGAGGAAGAGGAUCUCACACCUCCCUUGGGGGCUGCUGGCUCCUGUGGCCUGGGCCUUGUGCAGCCCCAGCCCCACACGCAGGGCCAGCUCCUGGUUUCUCCCUCCCUUGCCUGUUCCUUGGAGCUGGACCGUGGUUUCUCCACCAGCCAGGAUGCAGAUUGGUCUGUCAGGCCCCAAUCCUCUCAGGGCCUGUAGGAACUCCUCCAGGUGCAAGCCUGGGAUCUGCAGCUCUGCUGCCAGUUGCAGGAGAUUGCCCCUCAGCUCGUCCCCCAGGGGCCCUUCUGCGAGGCUGCUGAAGCCCAGGCAGAGCAGCUGGAUCAGCUGGCAGUACAGGGUGGCAACACUGCCCACUUCCCCCUGCACUGCUGCGCUCAGCACCAGGGCUGCAUAGCCCAGGCCCUCAGCCUGGUGCCUGGCCUCCUCCAGAGCCAGCCUGUUGGAGCCAAGGAUGAUGUUGGAAACGUGGGAGUAGUUUUCUGGAGCGGUGGGCUUGGUGGGAGAGCUGGAGAGGACCAUUUCCACUGACUUGGGCAGGCUGUGCAGCAGGUUGUAUUUGGUGAGUAUCUGGAGGCAGUCUUGGACACUGUGGGAGCUGGGAGCAGUGGGCCCACUCGCUAUGAUGUCCAGGGGGUCACCUAUCACAUCAGACAGGAUGAGACUCACCACCUGUGGAAAGAAAUGCCCACAGAUUAUUGCAGGAGGCAAAGACAGGUGACCACAAAAGAGCCCUGGCAUAAGCAUUGCUCUGAGUGCCAUCCCCACAUCAAAGCAGAUGGAAACAGGGUAGGGCUUAACCCAUUUUCAAUUUAUGGACCUGUGAGUGUCACCUUGCCCUUCUCAAACCCACAGAUUUACAGUCCCCUUUGAAGCUGGAGACUAUCAUGCUGGAAGAUGUAACCUGUGACACUGCAGUUGUCAGGCCCAACCUAGUGUGGCUUCAGCAAUGGGACAUGCUGAGAACAGCCCCCAGGGGAGCCAAGGUCAGGGCCAGCCUUGAAAGUACUGUGCUGAAGCACCAACACUUGGAAGUGCCUGCUGGCUGUGGGCUGGGGUCUGCAUGAUGGGAUGGCUGAUGUUUCCCAAGUCUGAAUUCCCACUCUCCCAGCUCUGUCUCCCUGAGAGUUUCUGUCCAAAGUGAAAUCUCAGCCACAGAGCCCCAAAACAGUGUGCAAAGCUGUUCACUCAGUAUGGACAAAAACCUGGCAAGCUGAUUUAAACCUGUGUUUUGAGGGUAGAUGGGAGAUGUCUGGGCAGACAGGGGCUUUCCCUUGGUUACCUGAGCAGGAUGUGCCAGCUGGGCCAGCCCUCCACCCUUCAGCACGGACAGAGUCUUCCGGACAAUGUUCAGCUCCUGUAUGGCAGCUCCUCGGGAAGCCAACAGCUUUGUGAGCUUCUCCUUCUCCUCCAGGAGGAUGGGAGGGAUGGGAGCAGGCAGGAGGGCAGAUCCACCCCCUAGGAUGCAGAAGAGAUGGCAAGGACAUCAGGAUAGCAGGAGAAGGAGGACAAAGGAGAGCAAGGCUUUAGCCUUUUCUCUUCCCUCACCAGUGUCUGGAGGGAAGGCAGAGGUGACUGGGGACCUAAGCUAACAUCUCUGGGGAAUUCAGUCAUCUUCAGUGGUGGGUUUGAAUCACUGCUGUGCUGCACUCUCUGCACUCAGCUACACUUCACCCAGGCAGUGUGAGCCUGGCUGCAUGGGGGCACCACAAGCCUGCAGUGUGGUGGGGGUGACAGAAGAGGGACAGCACCCACCCUCACCUCUGCACUGGGCUGCAGCUGGCUCCUCACACUGAUACUGAGGGGUCACCUGGGUGUGUGAGCAGGGAGCCAUGGCCUCCAUGGAUCACACAGCAGCCAGUGCUGGCCACAUGGGGACACUGCCUGAUGUGGUGGCUCCAUUUAUUCAGGACAGUGUGUAAAAACAUUGGCUAGGGAUGCAGCAAGAUUGGAAACUGCUGAACUGCACUCAUCCAGGCCUGGGAGGAGAGAAAAGGGGGGACAGUAUUGCAAAGGACAAAGCACACACUGAGUCCAGGGUGAUAGCUUCACUGCUGGGAAUUCUGUCUGACACAAGCAGGCAUUGGAAAUGUGGAAAAGAAGGAAAGGUUCUAAUGGAAAAGUGGAAUGGAUUGAAAAUACAGAGGAGAAAAGAGCAAGGCCUGUGCACAGAGUGAACGUGCACAGAAGUACAGCUGAAUGCUACUGUCAAAAUGCAAAGCCUGCUCAGAGGUUUGAGACAAAUCAGCAUCAAUAAAACAUGAUGAGCAAGAAAAACAAA